UGUUUCGGCUAGGGGGCCAUCCCGGCUUACCAACCCGAUGCAAACUGCGAAUACCGGAGAAUGUUAUCACGGGAGACACACGGCGGGUGCUAACGUCCGUCGUGAAGAGGGAAACAACCCAGACCGCCAGCUAAGGUCCCAAAGUCAUGGUUAAGUGGGAAACGAUGUGGGAAGGCCCAGACAGCCAGGAUGUUGGCUUAGAAGCAGCCAUCAUUUAAAGAAAGCGUAAUAGCUCACUGGUCGAGUCGGCCUGCGCGGAAGAUGUAACGGGGCUAAACCAUGCACCGAAGCUGCGGCAGCGAACGUAUCACUUAAAGCGAUUCAGCGGGUUACGAUUGACGGAGCGAAGCGACGUCAAAGCGUAUACAAAGUCGAGUCGGUUUAAGGAUACGUUCGUUGGGUAGGGGAGCGUUCUGUAAGCCUGCGAAGGUGGCCUGUGAGGGUUGCUGGAGGUAUCAGAAGUGCGAAUGCUGACAUAAGUAACGAUAAAGCGGGUGAAAAGCCCGCUCGCCGGAAGACCAAGGGUUCCUGUCCAACGUUAAUCGGGGCAGGGUGAGUCGACCCCUAAGGCGAGGCCGAAAGGCGUAGUCGAUGGGAAACGGGUUAAUAUUCCCGUACUUGGUGUUACUGCGAAGGGGGGACGGAGAAGGCUAUGUUGGCCGGGCGACGGUUGUCCCGGUUUAAGCGUGUAGGUGUGUGUUCCAGGUAAAUCCGGUUCACUUUAACACUGAGGCGUGAUGACGAGGCACUACGGUGCUGAAGCAACAAAUGCCCUGCUUCCAGGAAAAGCCUCUAAGCAUCAGGUAACAUCAAAUCGUACCCCAAACCGACACAGGUGGUCAGGUAGAGAAUACCAAGGCGCUUGAGAGAACUCGGGUGAAGGAACUAGGCAAAAUGGUGCCGUAACUUCGGGAGAAGGCACGCUGACACGUAGGUGAAGUGAUUUACUCAUGGAGCUGAAGUCAGUCGAAGAUACCAGCUGGCUGCAACUGUUUAUUAAAAACACAGCACUGUGCAAACACGAAAGUGGACGUAUACGGUGUGACGCCUGCCCGGUGCCGGAAGGUUAAUUGAUGGGGUCAGCGCAAGCGAAGCUCCUGAUCGAAGCCCCGGUAAACGGCGGCCGUAACUAUAACGGUCCUAAGGUAGCGAAAUUCCUUGUCGGGUAAGUUCCGACCUGCACGAAUGGCGUAAUGAUGGCCAGGCUGUCUCCACCCGAGACUCAGUGAAAUUGAACUCGCUGUGAAGAUGCAGUGUACCCGCGGCAAGACGGAAAGACCCCGUGAACCUUUACUAUAGCUUGACACUGAACAUUGAGCCUUGAUGUGUAGGAUAGGUGGGAGGCUUUGAAGUGUGGACGCCAGUCUGCAUGGAGCCGACCUUGAAAUACCACCCUUUAAUGUUU
rnacentral:rRNA from 1 species